rnacentral:tRNA from 1 species
AGUCCUGUAGUAAAGUUUACAUAAGAUUGCAAGUCUUAAAACGGAGAUUAGGCUCUCCCGGGGCUU